rnacentral:rRNA from 1 species
AUUGAACGCUGGCGGCAGGCCUAACACAUGCAAGUCGAACGAGUGGCGGGCGGGUUAGCAAUGACUGGGAAUCUGCCUGCUGGAGGGCGUCAGCUACUGGAAACUGUUGCUAAUACCGCCUACCUUCAGAUGUGCCGAGAUGGGUGUAGCUUGUUGGUGGGGUAACGGCUCACCAAGGCGACGAGCCCUAGCUGGUCUGAGAGGAUGAACAGUCACACUGGAACUGAGACACGGUCCAGACUCCUACGGGAGGCAGCAGUGGGGAAUAUGGCACAAUGGGCGCAAGCAUGAUGCAGCCAUGCCGCGUGUAUGAAGAAGGGCUGCGGGUUGUAAAGUACUUUAAGCGGGGAGGGGUUACCAGCAGAAGAAGAACCGGCUAACUCCGUGCCAGCAGCCGCGGUAAUAC